GCCCACACGCUCAAUAUUCCUAUCAUUGCUUGGCAUGUUCCUGGGGUUCUUUCACUCUUGUCAUGGAUCAGAUUCCUGUCUAGACAACAUUUAUCCAACAGAAUAAAUAAAUCAUUCCCUGGACAAUCUGGAUUGCCAUGCCAACAAGGUCUUGGGUUAGCAAUGUCUGAAGUAUAAGUGAGCAAAUGGCCUUCAACUGAAAACUUGCACUUCUGAAGAAAGAGUUUCAGGUUUCCUCGGUUCAUGAAGGGAUAGACCAGAAGAGGGUGCUGCACAUCAUCCAUGCAGACAGCAAUGAUUGCAUUAUUUGGUGUGUCUACCCUCAAGAAUGUUUGGCCAUGGUCAGAAGCUCCUCUAGACGAGUCUCCUCU